ACUCCUAACGGAAGGCCAGGCAGUAGGGAAUCCUACGCAAUGGACGAAAAGUCUGACGAGCACGGCGCGUGGAGGUGAUGAUGUUUUCGAAUCGUAAGGCUCUGUUGUUAGGGAGACAAGUGCGAGAGUAACUGCUCCGCCACCUUGACGGUACCUAACCCAGAAAGCCACGGCUAACUACGUGCCAGCAGCCGCGGUAAUACGUAGGUGGCAAGCGUGUCCGGGAAUUAUUGGGCGUAAAGGGCUCGCAGGCGGUUCUUAAGUCUGAUGUGAAAGCCCCCGGCUCAACCGGGGAGGGUCAUUGGAAACUGGGAAACUUGAGUGCAGAAGAGGAGAGUGGAAUUCCACGUGUAGCGGUGAAAUGCGUAGAGAUGUGGAGGAACACCAGUGGCGAAGGCGACUCUCUGGUCUGUAACUGACGCUGAGGAGCGAAAGCGUGGGGAGCGAACAGGAUUAGAUACCCUGGUAGUCCACGCCGUAAACGAUGAGUGCUAAGUGUUAGGGGGUUUCCGCCCCUUAGUGCUGCAGCUAACGCAUUAAGCACUCCGCCUGGGGAGUACGGUCGCAAGACUGAAACUCAAAGGAAUUGACGGGGGCCCGCACAAGCGGUGGAGCAUGUGGUUUAAUUCGAAGCAACGCGAAGAACCUUACCAGGUCUUGACAUCCUCUGACAACCCUAGAGAUAGGGCUUUCCCUUCGGGGACAGAGUGACAGGUGGUGCAUGGUUGUCGUCAGCUCGUGUCGUGAGAUGUUGGGUUAAGUCCCGCAACGAGCGCAACCCUUGAUCUUAGUUGCCAGCAUUCAGUUGGGCACUCUAAGGUGACUGCCGGUGACAAACCGGAGGAAGGUGGGGAUGACGUCAAAUCAUCAUGCCCCUUAUGACCUGGGCUACACACGUGCUACAAUGGACAGAACAAAGGGCUGCAAGACCGCAAGGUUUAGCCAAUCCCAUAAAUCUGUUCUCAGUUCGGAUCGCAGUCUGCAACUCGACUGCGUGAAGCUGGAAUCGCUAGUAAUCGCGGAUCACCAUGCCGCCGUGAUAGAGUUUCAUCCUGGCUCACGCUAAGUCGUAACAAGGUAACCAUGCUAGAGUUUGAUCCUGGCUCAGGAUAAGUCGUAACAAGGAACCAUGCAUGGAGUUAACG
rnacentral:rRNA from 1 species